UAUGGCAGUGUUUCUUACUUCCACGUCCAAAUGAUUUAAUUAAUCAUUCUACAAUAAGCAUUAGGCACAGUAAUGUUUAAUUGAAUUAAUGUGCGUGUACUUUAGAUAUUAGCAAUUAAAGAGUGUUAAGCGAUUAUUUUCUAAAAAGCUGUAUUAAAUGUUAGAACAUCAGUCGCUUUCACAGAACUCCAAUGGGCAAGGAUCAGCAUUUACUCGAAGCAGCUCGCAAUGGGGAUAUAAAAACCGUUGGCAAAUUGUUGGAGCUGACGACCAAGCGGCAUGGCCCACUGUCCAGCUUCCGUCGCAGCCCCAAUAUCAACUGCCAGGAUGUCAACGGCUACACCUCGCUGCAUCACGCCUGUCUCAAUGGUCACAGCGCCAUUGUGCGCCUGCUGCUGGCCCACAAUGCCCAGGUGGAUGUGCCCGAUGUGCGCGGCUCGACGCCGCUUUUCUUGGCCUCCUGGGCUGGCCAUCAGGAUAUUGUGAAAAUGUUGCUCUUUCACAGCCCCAUGCCGGCCAAUCCCAACGCACAAACAAUUGAGAACGAGACGCCACUGCAUUCGGGCGCCCAGCAUGGACACAAUGCUGUUGUGGCCAUACUCCUGUCAUAUGGCGCCGAUCCCACCAUACGCAACAAUAGCUUUCAGACGGCUCUGGACUUGGCUGCCCAGUUUGGACGGCUGCAGGCGGUGCAAACGCUGCUGCGCGUAGAUCCCGAUCUGAUAGCACCCUAUCGGCGUUAUGUUGAGGAUGACAAUCUGUCCGAGCUGCUUGGCUAUUCCAAUCAGUAUAGCGCCACGCCCACCAAGCACAUCUUCACGCACACUUGCCUGCAUCUGGCCAGCCGCAAUGGGCACAAAAAAGUGGUUGAAACGCUGCUCGCGGCUGGCGUUGACGUCAACAUACUCACCCACGCGGGCAGCGCGUUGCAUGAGGCAGCGCUCUGCGGCAAGAAGUCGGUGGUGGUUACGCUGCUCAAAGCUGGCAUCGAUGUGCAUGCCACAGAUGGCAAUGGACGCACUGCACUCGAAAUACUCGCCGACUAUCCGCCACACGUCACCUACGAGAUUGUGGCCGUCAUCAACGAAUUUACAAAUUUGGCUGAGGCGCAGCUGUUGCGCAGAAACCAGACGCAGCUGGUCAACAAUCUGGUUAUGGAGAAUGGAAGCGAAUCUGCGCUGCCCAAGCGUCUCUAUGAAAAGAACAUACAGCGGCCGAAUCAAGCCAAGCUAAGCGAUCAAUCGAAGCUGAGGAAGUAAGCCAACGCACUAACUGACUAUGUGACACGCCCCCCAUGUUACUGUUGUUGUUCUAAUUGUGAACUCAAUUAACCAUCAAACGCAAGCGGCAUUAAUUUGUAUGUGUGCUCAGAUCAGAUCAGCUCAGCUCCAGAUCCAGAACUCAUGCUCAUGGCUCGGAAUACAUAGAACUCAUACCGAACUCACGCACCCGCACUCGCACACCCACCAUUCACACACUCACACACAAGCACACACAAGCACACACACGCACGCACGCACUAGCACACAUCAGUUCAGAAUUGUAGAAAGCAAGACCAUCCACCAAAUGGACUUUCGCACUCUUUAAGCUCUUUGGACAAUUACACCAAACGGCCAGCAAACUAUUUGGACAUGAA
rnacentral:misc_RNA from 1 species